rnacentral:lncRNA from 1 species
UUGAGCCCUGCAAAUUUGAUGACCCUGUAGGUUGAGGAGCAUUAAAGUUAGGAUACGGAAUGGGUUGCGGCAGGGAACCGGGCAUAGGCAGCCCAUGAGGAGGCCGAAUCAAAGACUGUUGAUGCAACUGGGGAAGGCCAUUGGGAGGUGGGGUGUAGUAUCCUUGCCAAUACAUUGGUGGUUGAGGUGAGGCUCCCCAGGGAGCAAGAUUUCCACCAGGCUGAUACAAAGGCAUUGAGUUUUGGAAUCCCAUCCCAUGCUGCCCAGGUUGUCCAUUAUGAGAACUAAUGUC